rnacentral:rRNA from 1 species
UACGAAGGGGGCUAGCGUUGUUCGGAAUUACUGGGCGUAAAGCGUGCGCAGGCGGCCAUCCAAGUCAGUGGUGAAAGCCCGGGGCUCAACCCCGGGAGGCGGGUGGAUACUGUCUAGCUCGAGUCCGGAAGAGGAGUGUGGAAUUCCUGGUGUAGCGGUGAAAUGCGCAGAUAUCAGGAGGAACACCAAUGGCGAAGGCAGCACUCUGGGACGUGACUGACGCUGAGACGCGAAAGCGUGGGGAGCAAACAGG